rnacentral:rRNA from 1 species
UAGGUAGGGGGCAAGCGGUGUCCGGAAUUGUUGGGCGUAAAGCGCGCGCAGGCGGUCUCUUAAGUCUGAUGUGAAAGCCCACGGCUCAACCGUGGAGGGUCAUUGGAAACUGGGAGACUUGAGUGUAGGAGAGGAAAGUGGAAUUCCACGUGUAGCGGUGAAAUGCGUAGAGAUGUGGAGGAACACCAGUGGCGAAGGCGACUUUCUGGCCUAUAACUGACGCUGAGGCGCGAAAGCGUGGGGAGCAAACAGG